rnacentral:ncRNA from 4 species
UACUCUAAGCGGUGGAUCACUCGGCU